UGGGGGAUAUUGCACAAUGGGCGAAAGCCUGAUGCAGCGACGCCGCGUGGGGGAUGAAGGCUUUCGGGUUGUAAACCUCUUUCGCUAUCGAACAAGGCCCGCUUAGGGUGGGUUGAGGGUAGGUGGAGAAGAAGCGCCGGCUAACUACGUGCCAGCAGCCGCGGUAAUACGUAGGGCGCGAGCGUUGCCCGGAAUUAUUGGGCGUAAAGGGCUUGUAGGCGGCUUGUUGCGCCUGCUGUGAAAACGCGGGGCUUAACUUCGCGCGUGCAGUGGGUACGGGCAGGCUUGAGUGUGGUAGGGGUGACUGGAAUUCCAGGUGUAGCGGUGGAAUGCGCAGAUAUCUGGAGGAACACCGAUGGCGAAGGCAGGUCACUGGGCCAUUACUGACGCUGAGGAGCGAAAGCAUGGGUAGCGAACAGG
rnacentral:rRNA from 1 species